rnacentral:rRNA from 1 species
AAGACGAACGGUAACAGGAAGCAGCUUGCUGCUUUGCUGACGAGUGGCGGACGGGUGAGUAAUGUCUGGGAAACUGCCUGAUGGAGGGGGAUAACUACUGGAAACGGUGGCUAAUACCGCAUAACGUCGCAAGACCAAAGAGGGGGACCUUCGGGCCUCUUGCCAUCAGAUGUGCCCAGAUGGGAUUAGCUUGUUGGUGAGGUAACGGCUCACCAAGGCGACGAUCCCUAGCUGGUCUGAGAGGAUGACCAGCCACACUGGAACUGAGACACGGUCCAGACUCCUACGGGAGGCAGCAGUGGGGAAUAUUGCACAAUGGGCGCAAGCCUGAUGCAGCCAUGCCGCGUGUAUGAAGAAGGCCUUCGGGUUGUAAAGUACUUUCAGC